rnacentral:lncRNA from 1 species
UCAGCUCAGACAGGUGGCUGUUGUUGAUGAGGCAUAAUUUAGGUAGAAUUUAAAUGUGUUUUGACGGUUGUGUUUACUCAUACAACCGCUACUCAGAAUACAGACCAUUUUCCCAGGAAGUUCCCUCAUGCCCAUCUCCAGUGAGUUGGCACCUUCAUCUCCCAGAUCAGCUGCUAUUCUGACUUCUGUCACUGUAGGUGAGUUCGUUCUUGGACUUCAUACAAAUGGAGUCAUUCAGUAUUUUCUUUCCUUUUGUGCCUGGCUUCUUUUACUCAACGUGGCUUUUUUUGUUUUUUGUUUUUUGUGUUUUUUGAGACGGAGUCUCGCUCUGUCACCCAGGCUGGAGUGCAGUGGUACAAUCUCUGCUCACUGCAAGCUCCGCCUCCUGGGUUCACGCCAUUCUCCUGCCUCAGCCUCCCGAGUAGCUGGGACUACAGGCACCUGCCACCACGCCCGGCUAAUUUUUUGUAUUUUUAGUAGAGACGGGGUUUCACUGUGUUAGCCAGGAUGGUCUCAAUCUCCUGACCUUGUGAUCCGCCCACCUCGGCCUCCCAAAGGGCUGGGAUUACAGGUGUGAGCCACCGCGCCCGGCCUACUCAACAUGGUUUUGAGAUUCCACCAUGUAAUUGCAUAUCACAGCUCAUUUUUUUUAAUUGCUGACUGAUACUCAAUUUUAUGAAUAUAACAAUUUGCUCAUUCAUUCUUAUAAUGGUGGACAUUUGGUUUAUUUCUAGAUUUUUUAAUCUAUUAUAAGGAAGACUGCCAUGAACAUUCUUGUGUAAAUCUUCUUGUAGAUAGAUAGAUGUUUCAUUUCUCUUGAGUAAAUACCUAGGAGUAGAACUGCUUUUACUGUAUAAGAAAGUGUCAAACAGUCAUCGGAAGUGAUCGGACCAUCGUUUGUCCACGAGAGGUCCAGCAGCUCCACAUUCUCACCAACACUUACUUUGCUUUUUGUGAGUUUUUUAGCUAUUCUAGCACAUGUGAAAUGGUUUCAUUGGUGCCAUCAAGCGAUCCUUCUGCCUCAGCCACCACAUAGCUAGGGCUGCAGCACUAUGCCCAGCUAAUGUUUUUUAUGUUUGUA